rnacentral:rRNA from 1 species
AGUGAACGCUGGCGGUAGGCCUAACACAUGCAAGUCGAACGGCAGCGCAGUAAGAGCUUGCUCUUACGGGUGGCGAGUGGCGGACGGGUGAGGAAUACAUCGGAAUCUACUUUUUCGUGGGGGAUAACGUAGGGAAACUUACGCUAAUACCGCAUACGACCUACGGGUGAAAGCAGGGGAUCUUCGGACCUUGCGCGAUUGAAUGAGCCGAUGUCGGAUUAGCUAGUUGGCGGGGUAAAGGCCCACCAAGGCGACGAUCCGUAGCUGGUCUGAGAGGAUGAUCAGCCACACUGGAACUGAGACACGGUCCAGACUCCUACGGGAGGCGGCAGUGGGGAAUAUUGGACAAUGGGCGCAAGCCUGAUCCAGCCAUACCGCGUGGGUGAAGAAGGCCUUCGGGUUGUAAAGCCCUUUUGUUGGGAAAGAAAAGCAGCAGGUUAAUACCCCGCUGUUCUGACGGUACCCAAAGAAUAAGCACCGGCUAACUUCGUG